AGGGGCGUAGCUCAGCGGUUAGAGCAGCCGGCUCAUAACCGGUUAGGCCCUGGUUCGAAUCCAGGCGCCCCUA
rnacentral:tRNA from 1 species